rnacentral:rRNA from 1 species
UAACCGCGGUCGAUACCGGGCGCCGGGAAAUGUGGUGUUAGGGAGGGUCCAUUAUCCCGAGAUCAUGCGGCGCGUCCAAGUCCUUCUUGAACGGGGCCACAGCCCAUAGAGGGUGCCAGGCCCGUAGUGACCGCUGCUGAUCGCGGGAGGAUCUCUCCUCAGAGUCGGGUUGCUUGAGAGUGCAGCCCUAAGUGGGUGGUAAACUCCAUCUAAGGCUAAAUAUGACCACGAGACCGAUAGCGAACAAGUACCGUGAGGGAAAGUUGAAAAGCACUUUGAAGAGAGAGUUCAAGAGUACGUGAAACCGUUUAGGGGUAAACCUGAGAAACCCGAAAGGUCGAAGGGAGAAAUUCAUCGUGUUUCGAUGUUGGCGUGAGGCGGUCGUGUGACGGAGAAGGUUCGCCCGAUCCGCGCCUUCCGCUUCGUCGAUCCGACGUCGAACGCGUGCACUUUUCUCCUGGUAGGACGUCGCGAUCCGUUGGGUGUCGAUCUACGGCCCGAGGUGGAGUCCGCGCGGUUUUUGCCGUGCGAACCCUCGGUGUCCUGGCCGACUCGCUCGACGGUAUGCGAACGGUCGAGGGCCGCUUUUAAAGCGUUCGGCUCAUUGCAAGCGCGCCGGAAGCGUCGGAUACCGGACCUAGUGCCGAUACCGAUCUCCGGUGGCUGUUGGCGAUGAAGUUCUCGAACAGACCCUCAUGACCGAUCAGCGACGCUAUAGCUUUGGGUACUUUCAGGACCCGUCUUGAAACACGGACCAAGGAGUCUAGCAUGUGCGCGAGUCAUUGGGAAUCACUAAACCUAAAGGCGCAAUGAAAGUAAAGGUCCGUCUUGCACGGACCGAGGGAAGAUGGGCGGUUUGCCCUUAAAAGCGGCCGCCCCGCAUUCCCGGGGCGUCUCGUUCUCAUUGCGAGAAGAGGCGCACCAAGAGCGUACACGCUGGGACCCGAAAGAUGGUGAACUAUGCCUGUC